CAAAACUCUCAUCCUAUUAAAUUCUACCAUAUGAAGGUGAUUUGUUAGCUUCACAAACAAACCGCCGUUAUUUACUAAGAUCUUCUCAUAACAUGAACUGUCUGAAUACCAAGGUGGUGUUCUUGAGCUGCAGUGCAAAAUCAUCAUAUCACCAGUUGCUAUGAUCUGCAUUGUCAGGCAACCAGGUAGCAUUAAAACAGUACAGAGGCAACUAUGCUGCGCAUCAGCCAGCUGCUUCAUCAUACAAAUACAAGUAAAGAGUUGCAUACAAAUGCUACAUAAAAUCUGGUUAAGCUUAAUCAUAUAAUCCUUAUCCUUAUACUUAAAUACUUUACAAAGCACUAACACUAUUUGCUACUGUUUAAAGACCAAAAUAUUGGUUUUUAAACAGUAAUGAACAGUCCUCCAUCUCUUUCCCCUAUCUCAUCUGCUCCUUAGACAUCUCAUCUGAUUCUUUCUCCAUUUCUUUCCCAUCUCAUCUGCCUUUUCCCCAUCUCAAUUAGCGGUAGUCUAAGCCUUGUUCUUGAAACCUUUACAUUGUUCUUGAAACUUUUAGAUUCCAUAUUUUGCAUACAAAAUUCUUUCAAAUCAAUUUUAGGUACUGUAUAUUAUUUUCAUCUUCUGUUGUCUGAAUUCGAAAGAACAAUUGUAUCACAAUUAGAUUAGUUUGAGGGUUUAAGAUAUUAGAAAUGGCUGAGGAUGCACCUCCUCCUGUUAGGUUGAUGAAUUUCGUCUCUCAAGAAGAGUUAGUUGUAACAAAACAACAUUGCGGUGAAAGAGUGGAGGAUGGGAAUGCACAAAGAGAUCGUCCUCUAUUUGAGAUUGAAGGAGAACAAAGAUAAGCUGGAUGCUGAAUUUGUUAGUCUCCCAAUUUCUUACUGCUUUAAUCUGAUGUUUGAUAUUAUAUUAAUUUGUUCUUUUUUAUUUUGGGGAUUUUAUCAAUUGUAGUUGUCAUCUCUCUCACUUCUUGUUGAUCUUCUUCUUUCACCUUUAAACUCCAUGAAAUAUCAUGUAUGCUCAUCAGUUUUUCCCAAGUGUGAUUUUAGUAAAGCAAGAUUAAUUUGAUUUGGUAAGUUACAUUGGUUUUAGUAAAAUUUACCUAAAAAAAUUCAAUGUUUUUUCGAUUUUCUUAUAAUAAUCUCAACUAUCAAUACUAUGAAUAAUCCCAUGUAUCGACUAUUUAACCUCUACUAUUAUUGGCAAAUUUUUGACCUGUUAUUGUAGUUAAUAGCAUAAUAGUUGGAAUACCACCAUCUGAUCUUCCUUAUUUCCCCAUUGUACUCAAUUAUAACCAAAAAAGCUUCACUAUAUAUGUUCUUUGUAUCUUCCUGCGCAUCUCAUUGGCUUAUUCGUUCCACUGAUGCCUGCAUCUUUUUGGCUUAAUUUUUUUAUCUUGCAAUCUAACUCCUUGCUUAUCAACAAAAAAUUUGCUAUAAUUUAUUAUUUGAAAUGUUUUGCUAAUGAAAAAAACACUGCCCUGCAAGGCGCAAGCUAUCUGCUUAUGUGAAAACACUGCUCCCUACAAGGUGCAAGCUAUUUACCAGAAAUAUUAAGUACUUGAGUAUUUUGCAGGAAAAUUUAGCUCAGGUUUCGAUCCAGGCCGCAACUUUAAUUAUUCUAUCGAGGACUUAGUUUCAAUGAUUUUACUUGAUGACUAUAUUGUACUUAUGUUUUUUUUAUCGUAUUUAAGUAAACCUUAUU